CAGGAUUCUCUCUGAUGGCUAUCCCUGAAGCAGAGCAAAGCUUCAGCAAAUAGCAAAUGACAUCAAUUCUGCAGUCCAAGGAGUCAAAGGCAUGCAGUACAAAAGGGCAGCUUCCUGUAUGAUAGUGACAUUUUGGUAUUCAACAGUGGGAAAAUGGCUUUGGCUACAGGAGCUGGUAAAUGUUUUGGAUCAGUAAAGCCAACAAGACAAAACUUUCUGACAGAAAUUUUGGAAAAAUUCCUUCUUGGAAAUGUGGUAACCCCUGUGAUAAACAGAGCAUCAGCAAUGAAAGUAAAACAAGAACAUUAAGCAUUUGUGGUCUACUCAUUAUGGAGAGGAGAAGAAAAAAAGGAAAAAAUGGAAAAAAGGAGAUCACACUUCUGGGAUUGUAAGAUUGCUAGAAGGAGCUGACUGUAAAAAGGAACCUAAAGAUCUGGCAAUUUAUAAGAAGUGACCACUUCUCCUUUAGGGGCUGUCAUCAUAUUCUGAUUUACUGAGACUAUAUCAGACUAGAAAUAAGCCCUCUACAAUAGUUCCUCUCUUUGUUAGAAUCACCAGUAAAAAAAUAGUGAUUUUCCAUGUCCAUUCUAGUAGUUAGUUGUAACUCAGUGUUUGUAAAUGCUUCAUAAGCCAGAAAUUCCAGGAAUUGCCUCAGAAUCCAUUUGCAUUACCCUUUGUAUCAUACAACAUUGUUUCCCAGUUUCACCCCCUUAAAAAUAACACUGUGCACAGUCCAACAAUUUGCUUUUUUCAUAUGAAU
ensembl:lncRNA